GCCCCCGCCGGCGGCGCCCCGCCCCUCCCCUAACCGCCAGACUAGCCUGGUGCGGGGGCCGCGCGCGAAGACAUAGGGGAGAAGUUGGAGCUGAGGCUGGAGUCGCCCGUGGGGGCCGAGCCCGCCGUCUACCCGUGGCCGCUGCCGGUCUACGUUGUGACAGAAAUAAAGUUUCCAGAAGUUGUGUUCCUGCAAUAAGAAAUAAAGAUGUGACCUUCCAGUUGUGUAAAGCUCAUGAAUGCUGUGUAAGUGCGUCGGGUGCAAUAAGGAACCUGGAGCUAAAUGGGCUAGUUCUGAGAGAGAGAGACUUAACUACGUUAACAAAGAAAAUGAUGACUAAGAAACACACUGUCUCUGGGCUUCCCUGGUGGCACAGUGGUUGAGAAUCUGCCUGCUAAUGCAGGGGACACGGGUUCAAGCCCUGGUCUGGGAAGAUCCCACAUGCCGCGGAGCAACUGGGCCUGUGAGCCACAACUGCUGAGCCUGCACGUCUGGAGCCUGUGCCCCGCAGCGAGAGAGGCCGCGAUAGUGAGAGGCCCACGCACCGCGAUGAAGAGUGGCCCCCGCUUGCCGCAACUAGAGAAAGCCCUCUCACAGAAACGAA